UACGGAGGGUGCAAGCGUUGUCCGGAAUCACUGGGCGUAAAGGGCGCGUAGGCGGCUCAUGAAGGCUGUGGUGAAAGUCCGGGGCUCAACCUCGGAUCGGCCGUGGCGACUCGUGGGCUGGAGCACUGUAGAGGCGGGUGGAAUUCCGGGUGUAGCGGUGGAAUGCGUAGAGAUCUGGAAGAACACCAGUGGCGAAGGCGGCCCGCUGGGCAGUGGCUGACGCUGAAGCGCGACAGCGUGGGGAGCAAACAGG
rnacentral:rRNA from 1 species